GUAAGGGCGGAGUCACCGAUAUUUGACGAUCCAGCAAAGUUGCAUGCGAUUGAAUCUGAGGCUGCUGCUCGUUUUCGAUGAUCAAGUUUGCUGUUAUAUUCUCUGAUUUAUUUUCCGGCAACAUCGAUUCGGACAGCGUCAUCUUUGUAUCUUGCUCCUUUGCAGCCACAUCGCCCAGGGUAGUUUUCUGCCAUUUAUACGUUGACUUUCGAAUCUCUGAAAGGAAGCUGUCUCGAUGGCCAGUAUUACAAUGGACAUAGUGAUGCAGAGCACCUGUAUUUUCACUGCAAAAACUAGGCCGAAUCAGGAAUCGAUAUAUCGAACAUCGAGCUCUGCCAAUGAGUCGUCAGAAGUAAAGAAGAGGAAUAAAUAAAUAACGAAGUCGCACUAAACUAUCAACGAAUCUUUUUUUAUCCUGCUUAUAAUCAACGUUUUCUUUCUCUAUAAAUAAAAUUUAUAUUCCUAAAUACUUAUGACGGAAGUGUUGCGAGAAUUUUUAGCACAGUUUAAUUUAAUAAUGCGGGCGAAUUAUUGGGGCGAUUCUGAGAAUAUGAUUAUCUUAGCUUAGUAUUUGAGAAAAUCAUGUGCAAUUUUAGAGGAAGUUACGGAACUUGAAAAUUUAAUUUGCUAAGCUCAAACGAAUCUAGAUUUAGAGAAAGCUAUUUGGCACAAAGACAUUACACUCAAUUUAUAAAUAGAAAAUAAAAUUCUGGAAAAUUAAUCUAGCAGGGAUUAAUGCCCUAUUGAAUAUAUCGAUUCGUCCGAUUCAGCUAAUAUUAUACAAGGAGAUGCAAAUAAAUAGAACUUCAUGGACACAAUAUAUAAAAAUGAACAAAAACAAAAAUGAAUUUUUCUAUUUUACCUGAUUGAUGACUG